UCUGGUCCUUUUGUGCCCGCAGCCGCGGUAAUACGGAAGGUCCGGGCGUUAUCCGGAUUUCUUGGGUUUAAAGGGAGCGUAGGCCGGAGAUUAAGCGUGUUGUGAAAUGUAGACGCUCAACGUCUGCACUGCAGCGCGAACUGGUUUCCUUGAGUACGCACAAAGUGGGCGGAAUUCGUGGUGUAGCGGUGAAAUGCUUAGAUAUCACGAAGAACUCCGAUUGCGAAGGCAGCUCACUGGAGCGCAACUGACGCUGAAGCUCGAAAGUGCGGGUAUCGAACAGG
rnacentral:rRNA from 1 species